UACGGGGGGGGCAAGCGUUGUUCGGAAUUACUGGGCGUAAAGGGCCAGUAGGCGGCCAACUAAGUCCGACGUGAAAUCCCAAGGCUUAACCUUGGAACUGCGUCGGAUACUGGAUGGCUUGAAUUCGGGAGAGGGAUGCAGAAUUCCAGGUGUAGCGGUGAAAUGCGUAGAUAUCUGGAGGAAUACCGGUGGCGAAGGCGGCAUCCUGGACCAACACUGACGCUGAGGAGCGAAAGCCAGGGGAGCAAACGGG
rnacentral:rRNA from 1 species